rnacentral:rRNA from 1 species
GAUGAACGCUAGCGGCAGGCCUAAUACAUGCAAGCUGAACGGCAAGUUGAAUAGCAAUAUUUGACCUAGAGUAGCGUAAGGGUGCGUAACACGUAUGCAAUCUGCCCGCAACAGGAGGAUAGCUUGAUGAAAGUUGAGAUAAGACUCCAUAAGAUCACAGGAGGGCAUCUGAUAGUGAUUAAACUACAAGGGGUUGCGGAUGAGCANGCGCAUGAUUAGUUAGUUGGCGGGGUAACGCCACCAAGACAAUGAUCAUUAGGGGAACUGAGAGGUU